AAUCCAUAGGUUAAUGAGGCGAACCGGGGGAACUGAAACAUCUAAGUACCCCGAGGAAAAGAAAUCAACCGAGAUUCCCCCAGUAGCGGCGAGCGAACGGGGAGGAGCCCAGAGCCUGAAUCAGCAUGUGUGUUAGUGGAAGCGUCUGGAAAGGCGCGCGAUACAGGGUGACAGCCCCGUACACAAAAGCGCAUGUGCUGUGAGCUCGAUGAGUAGGGCGGGACACGUGGUAUCCUGUCUGAAUAUGGGGGGACCAUCCUCCAAGGCUAAAUACUCCUGACUGACCGAUAGUGAACCAGUACCGUGAGGGAAAGGCGAAAAGAACCCCGGCGAGGGGAGUGAAAAAGAACCUGAAACCGUGUACGUACAAGCAGUGGGAGCACCCUUUGGGUGUGACUGCGUACCUUUUGUAUAAUGGGUCAGCGACUUAUAUUCUGUAGCAAGGUUAACCGAAUAGGGGAGCCGGAGGGAAACCGAGUCUUAACCGGGCGUUAAGUUGCAGGG
rnacentral:rRNA from 1 species